AGUGAACGCUGGUGGUAGGCCUAACACAUGCAAGUCGAACGGCAGCACAGUAAGAGCUUGCUCUUACGGGUGGCGAGUGGCGGACGGGUGAGGAAUACAUCGGAAUCUACUUUUUCGUGGGGGAUAACGUAGGGAAACUUACGCUAAUACCGCAUACGACCUACGGGUGAAAGCAGGGGAUCUUCGGACCUUGCGCGAUUGAAUGAGCCGAUGUCGGAUUAGCUAGUUGGCGGGGUAAAGGCCCACCAAGGCGACGAUCCGUAGCUGGUCUGAGAGGAUGAUCAGGCACACUGGCACUGAGACACGGUCCAGACUCCUACGGGAGGCAGCAGUGGGGAAUAUUGGACAAUGGGCGCAAGCCUGAUCCAGCCAUACCGCGUGGGUGAAGAAGGCCUUCGGGUUGUAAAGCCCUUUUGUUGGGAAAGAAAAGCAGCAGGUUAAUACCCCGCUGUUCUGACGGUACCCAAAGAAUAAGCACCGGCUAACUUCGUG
rnacentral:rRNA from 1 species